rnacentral:rRNA from 1 species
UACAGAGACCCCAAGCGUUAUCCGGAAUUAUUGGGCGUAAAGGGUGUGUAGGCGGUCUUUUUAGUCUCCUGUUAAAAUCUAGGGCUCAACCCUAGACUCGCGGGGGAAACGGAAAGACUAGAGGAUGCGAGAGGUGAAUGGAACUCAUGGAGUAAGGGUGAAAUCCGUUGAUACCAUGGGGAACACCGAAAGCGAAGGCAAUUCACUGGCGCAUUUCUGACGCUGAAACACGAAAGCGUGGGUAGCGAACGGG